rnacentral:rRNA from 1 species
AGAGUUUGAUCAUGGCUCAGGAUGAACGCUGGCGGCGUGCCUAAUACAUGCAAGUCGAGCGAACGGAUAAGGAGCUUGCUCCUUUGAAGUUAGCGGCGGACGGGUGAGUAACACGUGGGUAACCUACCUAUAAGACUGGAAUAACUUCGGGAAACCGGAGCUAAUGCCGGAUAACAUUUGGAACCGCAUGGUUCUAAAGUAAAAGAUGGUUUUGCUAUCACUUAUAGAUGGACCCGCGCCGUAUUAGCUAGUUGGUAAGGUAACGGCUUACCAAGGCAACGAUACGUAGCCGACCUGAGAGGGUGAUCGGCCACACUGGAACUGAGACACGGUCCAGACUCCUACGGGAGGCAGCAGUAGGGAAUCUUCCGCAAUGGACGAGAGUCUGACGGAGCAACGCCGCGUGAGUGAUGAAGGUUUUCGGAUCGUAAAACUCUGUUAUUAGGAAAGAACAAAUGUGUAAGUAACUGUGCACAUCUUGACGGUACCUAAUCAGAAAGCCACGGCUAACUACGUGCCAGCAGCCGCGGUAAUACGUAGGUGGCAAGCGUUAUCCGGAAUUAUUGGGCGUAAAGCGCGCGUAGGCGGUUUCUUAAGUCUGAUGUGAAGGCCCACGGCCCAACCGUGGAGGGUCAUUGGAAACUGGGAAACUUGAGUACAGAAGAGGAAAGUGGAAUUCCAUGUGUAGCGGUGAAAUGCGCAGAGAUAUGGAGGAACACCAGUGGCGAAGGCGACUUUCUGGUCUGUAAC